rnacentral:rRNA from 1 species
CAGCAGCCGCGGUAAUACGUAGGGUGCGAGCGUUAAUCGGAUUUACUGGGCGUAAAGCGUGCGCAGGCGGCCCGUUAAGACAGGUGUGAAAUCCCUGGGCUCAACCUAGGAAUUGCGCUUGUGACUGGCGGGCUCGAGUACGGUAGAGGGGGGUGGAAUUCCUGGUGUAGCAGUGAAAUGCGUAGAGAUCAGGAGGAACACCGAUGGCGAAGGCAGCCCCCUGGGCCUGUACUGACGCUCAUGCACGAAAGCGUGGGGAGCAAACAGGAUUAGAUACCCUGGUAGUCCACGCCCUAAACGAUGGGUACUAGCCGUUUGGUGCGCGAUAGCGCUGAGUGGCGAAGCUAACGCGUGAAGUACCCCGCCUGGGGAGUACGGCCGCAAGGUUGAAACUUAAAGGAAUGGCGGG